GUGCCAGCCGCCGCGGUAAUACCGGCAGCCCGAGUGAUGGCCGAUCUUAUUGGGCCUAAAGCGUCCGUAGCCGGCCGGACAAGUCCGUUGGGAAAUCCACGCGCUCAACGCGUGGGCGGCCAGCGGAAACUGUCCGGCUUGGGGCCGGAAGACCCGAGGGGUACGUCUGGGGUAGGAGUGAAAUCCCGUAAUCCUGGACGGACCGCCGGUGGCGAAAGCGCCUCGGGAGAACGGACCCGACGGUGAGGGACGAAAGCCAGGGUCUCGAACCGGAUUAGAAACCCGGGUAGUCC
rnacentral:rRNA from 1 species